rnacentral:lncRNA from 1 species
UUUGCGAUACUUUACCGAACGCACGGAUUCUGGGUCAAAAACCAUCUAGCUUCGUUUGCAGGCUGCGCAAUUCGAGCGACGACCAUAAUGUACAGCCUAUGUUCGGGCUGUUUUUCAAACAAACUUCUGAGAACUUGCUGUAUCGUCCGAUUAUUUUCUAACCGUUACAGACAACGAUGUAGCUACUCUCAUAGUGAAGGAUUUUACUUUGCGGAAGGUUACCCGUGACUAGACUAAACAGAUAAGCUGACAGAAGGCUUUCUUCAGCAGGGAAUGUAUGCAGUUGCAAUGUGCGCUAUAAAAGCUGCAGGAUAAAGCGCGUGAAGAGUGGUUUUGAAGUAGUGUUAACCAAUCGUGCCGCGAUCUCUCCGCCUAUUGCUUUUUCCGAAGUUAAGGAAGCCGUAUCGGGUCAUAGCGGCAACCAGAUCGUUUGAUACGAGAGAAUCGCUAGGUUGGAGACCUCAUUAUUGUCGCAGUGAAUGAAUGGCCUCAGGGCGUGAUCGGGCUGUUGCGACAUCAAAGUCCUACUCGUUCGGACCGCCGACGGAAACGGCAGGGACGUCACAGUAUGCAGUUGCGAAAAUGUAAAGAGAUCCGAAGCGGAGUGGAACAGGGAAUACGUGCACAACGAUGAGAAAAGGCCAGCCGGUACUGGUGCAAAACAUCCCCCAGCGCACCUCACCAGUAGUAGUUCUGGCCGGCUGCGAUUCAAUCCUGAAUGAACCUGUCAGUGGGACGGCCUUGGAACUUGAGGGGGCGAAUGAGUUCCUGUGCGAGCAUGGAAGGACAGUAUACCGGAUACCCGCAGACGAGCCGUCUGGUCCAACGUACUCCGCGCCUCAUGCACUCAUUCUCUCUCUCCCGUUUUAUCACCCACUAUUAGCGUAUGAGAUUGACGAUUCCACACUCCUGCCAACUGCGUAAAUGACAGGUAUAUUGGCAGGCUUGAACAUAGAUUUACUCGAAACAAAUAAACUGAUAUAAUUGACGUGGUUGGACAAUCAAAGUUAACUAUCAGUUUCCCCAUUAUUAUGAUUAUCAGAAUGAUAAUCGCGAUGAGUUAGUUUUUUAUCAGCGGCGAAACUCGUUUUUCCAAAGGUCGUAGGAGAUCUGCUAGUGACGGUUGCCACUUUGACGGUUCAAGAUUUUCUGGUCAAGGGGGUUUCAACUGUAAAACAAAGUAGAAGCCUGAAGACCGAUAGGCGCCAACAGUAGUUAGAUAAUAGUACUUAAAUUGGGGAACCGAUCCCCGUCAAAGCCAAUUUGCAUAGAUCAUAAUUAUCCUCUACUAUCAAAACAUGCGUGUGUUCAUACCCUUGCAUUCUACUUAACUCUAACUAUGCUAUAACAUGACCAGAUCUUCAUUCAUAGAACCAAUCGUAUACUGAACGUUAGGCGUGACAGCGUUUGCACUUGCUUCAAUUUUUCAAAACAGAUUCUACAGUUAUUUGUCUGCCGGCGGGAUAUUAUGAUUGGUUUGACAUUCUGUGAACAUCCUACAAAUGGGAAAGCAAUAUGUCCGAUUUCGACUUCUAAAUAGUGCUAGUUACUUUUCCCCAACAUAGAAAAACGGUUCCAGUUAUG